rnacentral:rRNA from 1 species
UUAAUGAGAGUUUGAUCCUGGCUCAGGACGAACGCUGGCGGCGUGCCUAAUACAUGCAAGUAGAACGCUGAGGACUGGUGCUUGCACCGGUCCAAGGAGUUGCGAACGGGUGAGUAACGCGUAGGUAACCUACCUCAUAGCGGGGGAUAACUAUUGGAAACGAUAGCUAAUACCGCAUAAAAGUGUUUAACCCAUGUUAAACAUUUAAAAGGUGCAACUGCAUCACUAUGAGAUGGACCUGCGUUGUAUUAGCUAGUUGGUGAGGUAACGGCUCACCAAGGCGACGAUACAUAGCCGACCUGAGAGGGUGAUCGGCCACACUGGGACUGAGACACGGCCCAGACUCCUACGGGAGGCAGCAGUAGGGAAUCUUCGGCAAUGGACGGAAGUCUGACCGAGCAACGCCGCGUGAGUGAAGAAGGUUUUCGGAUCGUAAAGCUCUGUUGUUAGAGAAGAAUGAUGGUGGGAGUGGAAAAUCCACCAUGUGACGGUAACUAACCAGAAAGGGACGGCUAACUACGUGCCAGCAGCCGCGGUAAUACGUAGGUCCCGAGCGUUGUCCGGAUUUAUUGGGCGUAAAGCGAGCGCAGGCGGUUCUUUAAGUCUGAAGUUAAAGGCAGUGGCUCAACCAUUGUACGCUUUGGAAACUGGAGAACUUGAGUGCAGAAGGGGAGAGUGGAAUUCCAUGUGUAGCGGUGAAAUGCGUAGAUAUAUGGAGGAACACCGGUGGCGAAAGCGGCUCUCUGGUCUGUAACUGACGCUGAGGCUCGAAAGCGUGGGGAG